rnacentral:rRNA from 1 species
UACGUAGGGUGCGAGCGUUGUCCGGAAUUAUUGGGCGUAAAGGGCUCGUAGGCGGUUUGUCGCGUCGGGAGUGAAAACCCAGGGCUUAACUCUGGGCUUGCUUUCGAUACGGGCAGACUAGAGGCAUGCAGGGGAGAACGGAAUUCCUGGUGUAGCGGUGAAAUGCGCAGAUAUCAGGAGGAACACCCGUAGCGAAGGCGGCACCUCUGGGCCGAUACUGACACUGAGGGAGCGAAAGCGUGGGGAGCGAACAGGA